UAUUCGUUAAAUUGCGAUUAGAAAAAACGAUUGUAGUGGCACUAAAUCGUCAAAUUGCGAUUGAGAAAAACGAGAUUCGUAAAAAUGACGAUACUCGUAUUUUUAUUUACGAGUGCCUUCAGCUUUCGUUUUGGGGGUAGAUGUCAAAUGUCAUUUAUUUUUUUGUUUUUGUUUUGUUAAGUGCGCAAAAAAAUGCCUACAACUAAUGCUAAGCAGUUGGAUUUGCUGGUAGCUUUUAUGGAAACCAAUCCAAACAUAGCAAAAAAUUACUUGCCGACGAGCCAAGCCAAAGCCAAAUCCAAAAUUCUUUGGAAGGCUUUGACUGAUAAGCUAAAUGCAUGCGGUCCUCCAGAGGAACCAAUGGAUGGUUGGAAAAGUGUAUGGAAAGAUUUUAAGUACAAUCUUAAGCGCAAAAUGCGAG